UGGGAAUGUAAAUGGUACAGACACUUCGGAAAACAGUAUGGAGUUUCCUCAAAAGAAUAAAAACAGAACUACCAUGUGACCUAGCCAUGUCACUUCUGGGUAUUUAUCCAAAGGAAUGGAAAUCACUAUCUCACAGAGAUGUCUGCACCCCCAUGUUCAUUGCAGCAUUGUUCACAGUAGCCAAGACACGGAAACAAACUAAACGUCCAUCAACGGAUGAACGGAUAGAGAACAUUUGAUGUAUACACACCAUGGAAUAUUAUUCACCCACAAAAAGAAGGACAUUCUGCCUUUGUGACAACAUAGAUGGACCUUCAGGGCAUUGUACUAAGUGAGGUAAGUCAGACAGAGAAAGACAAACACUGUAUGAUAUCACUUACAUGUGGAAUCUAAAAAAGCCAAAAUCAUGCAAAGGGUAGAUUUGUGGUUUCCAGGGGCUGGGGGGUGCGGGAAAUGAGGAGAUGUUGGUCAAAGGUUACAAACUGCCAGUUAGAAGAGGAAUCACUUCUGAGAUCUACUGUACAGCAUGGUGAUUACAACCGACAAUACUGUAUUGAAUACUUGAAAGUGGAUGAGAGAGUAGAUCUCAAAUGUUCUCCCCAUAACAACAAAUGGUAAUUCUGCGGGGUGAAGGGAGUGCUAACUAACUUCAUUGUGGUGAUCACUUUGCAUGUCUAAAAUCAUCACAUCGUAUACCUUAAGCUUACUCAAUGUUAUGUGUCAAUCACAGGUCAGUCCAGAAGAAAGAUCAAGUCUAUUUUGUCAUAACAUGAGCCUAAGCGCCCCUGCUGCCUUGGGUUACUAUUUGCUUGGAACAUCUUUUUCGAUCCUUUCACUUUUGACCUAUUUGUGUCUUUGGUUCUAAAGUCAGUCUUUCAUUUAUUUAUAAUUGAGGUCAUAUUGGCGUAUAACAUAGUGUAAAUUUCAGGUGCACAUUGUUACACAUCAGUGUCUGUGUAGACGGCAUUAUGUCCACCAAUAGUCUAGCUUUUAUCGGUCACCAUACAUGUGUGCCCCUUUACCCCUCUCGCCCCACCCCCCUUCUCCUCUGGUGACCACUAAUCUGUUCUCUUUAUCUAUGUGUCUCUUUGUUCAUCUUCCACACAUGAGUGAAAUCAUAUGGUGUUUGUCUCUGUCUGGCUUAUUUUGCUUAUCAUAAUAUCCUCAAGGUCCGUCCACGUGGUUGCAAAUGGCAGAAUUUCGUCUUUUUUAUGGCUGAGUACUAUUCCAUUGUAUACAUAUACCGCAUCUUUAUCCCUUCAUCAUUGAAGGCCCUUGGGUCGCUCCUGUCUCUGGUUACUCGGGUCUGCUCAGCUGGCUCUCGGGCUCCUCCACUGGCUCUCCACAGGCUUCGGAGCUGCUGGCCCAGCACCACCUGCACUGCUGCUCCCGGGAUGUCCUGGGGUGCUGGCUGCGCUGCUGCCAGCGGAGCUGGUUCACAGGUGUCACUGUCACUGUCGGCGGAGACGGCGGACUUACAGCCCCUGCUGCUGGUGGAGCUGGUGUGGGGUUGCCGCCACUGGGGGCUGGGUUUCCAGCUGUGCUGAAGUCCCUGUUGCUCCUGGGUGCGGAUGCCGCCUUCCACCGCUGGGGGCGGCACGGGCUGUAUCUCCUGUUCCCACCCCUCCUGCUCCUGUUGGUGUGCAGGUUCAGACCGCUGGGCGUUCCAGGCAGGGCCACAGCCGCAGGGGGCGCGUCGCCGCCCAGCCGCCUCCUCUCCUGGUCGCGCUGGGCGGGGCGCGGUCCCGCAGAAGGGCCGCCGCCAGUGGGCGCCCCCGCGGCUGCCCCGCCCCCCAAGCUCCGCCCGCCGGCCCUGCGCGCGGGUCCGCGCCCCCAGCUGCUGCAGGAGGGCCAGAUCCCCAGCUCCCGCCCGCCUGCCCGCGCGCCGCCCUGGGAGGUGCACCUGUGGGGUCCGUCAGGGUUCCCUGCGCGGUGUCGGACGCCUGCUGCUCCACGGCGGCUUCGUUCCGAAGACUUAACCCCUGAAAGCACUAACGUGUCUCCAACCGAUGCCAGAGCCUGUCACUUACACUCCUUGCCGCUUUCCCCACAGCUGUCUACAGUAUUUGAAUUACUGUCUUCUUCGCAUUUCUGGUUACUAGUCAACAACUGUUUAAUUUCUAUCCAAGGAUGAUUAAAUCCACGUACACUGAAACAAGAAAUAUGCACUCACAAUACUAAAGGAUGACCUGGUCCGUGAUACUUUGGUCACUUCCUCUGCUUAUUGGUUCGAUAAACCUCCUAGGUCUGGUACGCUGCUCGCUCACAUCUACUACUCAACCCUCAACGAUUUAGGUGUGGUUGUUCCUCUCAGGGCAAGAGCGGUCAUUACUGGUUUUAGCCAUAAAUCUAUAGCGUGUGGAUGGUGGGAGAGAGAAGCUGCCUUUUCCUCUGUGGGGCCAACCAUCUGGAGACAUUGGGAUAAGACUUGUCUGCACAAAGAGAGAAUGACAUCAAACUACACCAAACAUUUGGAAAUUUCAGAGGGAGAGACUUGAGGACGUGAUUUGAGUCCUGAGGUCGCCUCCCCCUGAUGUGAGGGCUCACUUCCUCUGUGGACGCCUCUGAUCCUGAGACAACUCCUCUGCUGGUGGAGCCUCUAGGUCUCUAACGAUCACUCCCCCAGCUGUGGAGGGUGACAGUCUUACACACGUGGGAGGCAUUCCGUCUGCUGCCUAGAGCACACUGUUUUAAAAAUCACAGCACGCUUUUCAUUUCCUGUAAGACCCUAAAACAAAUGUGUAGCUCUUUGAUCCAUUUACUCAUAUUCCUGUGAAUUAUUUUCUCUCCACUGUGAGACAAACACCCAGAGGGCAGGGGACAUCAUCUUGCUUGCUCUGUGCUUGAAUUCCCAGAGUCUGUGCAAUAAAUGAAAACAAGAAAUUAAAAAAAAAAGAAAACAGCAAGUCUCCAGAGAAUUCAACUGCCUUGAUGUCAUUGGGUCUCCUUAGCAGGCAAUGAGAGGA
ensembl:lncRNA